AACGAACGCUGGCGGCAGGCUUAACACAUGCAAGUCGAACGGGAUCUUCGGAUCUAGUGGCAGACGGGUGAGGAACACGUGGGAACAUCCCUUUCAGUUCGGAAUAACGUUGGGAAACUAACGCUAAUACCGGAUACGUCCUUCGGGAGAAAGAUUUAUCGCUGAAAGAUUGGCCCGCGUCUGAUUAGCUAGUUGGGGAGGUAAUGGCUCACCAAGGCUACGAUCAGUAGCUGAUCUGAGAGGAUGAUCAGCCACAUUGGGACUGAGACACGGCCCAAACUCCUACGGGAGGCAGCAGUGGGGAAUAUUGGACAAUGGGCGCAAGCCUGAUCCAGCCAUGCCGCGUGAGUGAUGACGGCCUUCGGGUUGUAAAGCUCUUUUGUCCGGGAAGAUAAUGACUGUACCGGAAGAAUAAGCCCCGGCAAACUUCGUGCCAGCCGCCGCUGUAA
rnacentral:rRNA from 1 species